UCCUCCGAAAAGGACGGGCGGCUUCCCUCGGCCUUCGGCGCAUGUCCGCCGGCUGCUUCUUCGCCAGCAAUCCAGCAAUCUCCCAGAGGCCUUCUCGGCAAUGGCGGACUUCCUGUCCCUCGAACCCUCCACUUCCGGCUUCUCCUCUCCGAGCCACGUGGCUGCAGAGGCUCUUUUGGUGGCGGUUUUGCACGUGUAACAAUAUGGGAAGGAAUCGACAUAGAGACCAUGAUGCCCGUCCACUUCCUGACGCUGGAACCCAUGGCGCUCUGCUACUGACGGCGGCGGAGUAGCUACAACCGGGUGGUGGGAGGCUUUGGAGAUGGCUGAGCUUGUUUGGGUGGGUGAGAGGGCCACAUGUCUCUUGGAGCAACUGCCAAGAUCCAUGAAGUUCAGACUCAUCUGGACCAGCCACAUGGAUUCCCGUCUUGAGUUGAAGACCAACCUUCCAGUGUCCAGUAAAAGGACCGCUGCGUUGAUGCAA